rnacentral:lncRNA from 1 species
AAACUCAUAUUCUUAUUUUUCUAUUAUUUUUAAUUAUCUACAAAUAUUAAUAAUUAUAAAUAAAACCAAUAAUUUAAAAAAUUCUAAUUAAAUUAAAUUAACCAUUCUAAAUUCAAUUAAAAAUAUUAAAUUAAUAAAAGUCAAAUUAAUUCUAAUAUGUCAUAACUCCUCACUUCUACACUAAGUUUUAAUAUUAUAAAAC